rnacentral:lncRNA from 1 species
UCGAGAAACAAUAAACAAGCAUAAGAAAAGCUGCUGGACUGGGUGACUUCUCGCUAUAAUAAUGACCUGAGCCGAUCUGAUAAAUAUAGCCAUUCUCUACGGAACUGCGAUUUUAGUUUUCUCUUAUAUUCAAAAUUGUGGAUGUGAGAGAUUUUGGCCCUUUGUGGGGCCUGAAGGGGGAGUGCCGAAAUUUUGAAACACACUUGUAACAGUGGCAGCAUACAGAAGUCUGAAUGCUAAGGUUGCCCUAUCUCUUAUGAUCUCUAAAUAAUAGGUGUUCU